AAUUCGACCCAUGGAAUCCUCGAACUCAUAUCCGACCCCGUUCCGCUGAAGGUCGAAGUCUUUCGGACACUUACCAACAGAGGGCCGAGAAGAGACUUUCGGUUUGCCGUAGCCGAUCCACCAGGGACUACCAACUACUCCAUCAACGUUAUUAUCUACAAGUCAUUCCCGUUUAGGAACCCAGAGCCGGGAAAAUAUAUCGCUGAAUUUCUAACACCAGAAAUCGGAUGGCAGUGCUUCUUCAUCAGGGCUACUUAUAACACACCGGGUAAUACCACCAUUACUUUCACCACGGAGGCGAGUAUCACCCCAGCAAACAAGUUCGCUGUACCCGACUGCCAUGGGAUUGGCUGUAAGGGUAUUCUCGUAUAGUGAUGACGGGACAUCAGCGAAACACGCAAGGACAUUGUCCAAUAUGUGGAUGUAAAACGUUAUCGUCAUUUAAUUAAUGAGUAUUCCUUUCUUUUUUUAUUAAAAUCAGGAAUGACUUUAUCCUGGGAAAGCAAUUGUCGUUUUAGUUGGAUACCUUAAAACAAACUCUUAUAUAGUAUUAAACAAGAAAUACCCUUUCACUAAACUUUCACACGGCAUCAUUUGAAAAUUAUUGUAAAUUUCUAUCACCAGAACGAUUGAAAACUUAAGAUUAUUGAUUGAAAUUGAUUCAAAUGAUUUUAUUUCUCAUGCAAAACAUAAUACAAGAAUAAUUAU